AACGAACGCUGGCGGCAGGCCUAACACAUGCAAGUUGAACGCUCUAGCAAUAGAGAGUAGCGCACGGGUGCGUAACACGUGGGAAUAUGCCCUUCACUACGGAACAACGUCGGGAAACUGACGCUAAUACCGUAUAAUGACUCCGGUCCAAAGAUUUAUCGGUGAGGGAUUAGCCCGCGUCUGAUUAGCUAGUUGGUGAGGUAAUGGCUCACCAAGGCUACGAUCAGUAGCUGGUCUGAGAGGAUGAUCAGCCACACUGGAACUGAGACACGGUCCGGACUCCUACGGGAGGCAGCAGUGAGGAAUAUUGGACAAUGGGCGCAAGCCUGAUCCAGCCAUGCCGCGUGAAUGAUGAAGGCCUUCGGGUUGUAAAGUUCUUUUAAUGGUGAAGAUAAUGACGGUAGCCAUAGAAAAAGCCCCGGCUAAAUUCGUGCCAGCAGCCGCCGUAA
rnacentral:rRNA from 1 species